AGCUCAGACUUAGUUUCAAAGUCCACAAUAAAGAACAUCUUAGGAAAAUAGACCAGUUUAUUGUUUGUUUCCUUGAGUUUUACUUUUACUCUUAUAGAUGCAGUGGAAAGAUCCUUAUAACAGUAGUUAAAUUGUGAUAAGUAGGUGUUGUAAGCAGUAGCUACAGGUAUGAAUUCUAUAAGUGUGGCUUUUCCUUGUGAUAGCUUCCUUUUUCUAAAAAAUUAAUAAAUCUAUUCCUUAUGUUAUGAUAGCUGGAUUACUCACUUGUAUGCUACUUUUGCAUUUCAUGCUUGGAUAAAUCCAUGCGAAUUCAUUAAUUCUAAAUGUGAAAGUAUAGAAGAAUUAUGAAGAAGUGAUUCCAAAUUCAUUGUUUGAGGAAGGUUUUUAUGGAUUCAGUUGUGAAGUAUUUCUCCCAAAAUUUAGUACGAUUCCUAGAAUGUCUAGAAAGGGUUCUCUUUAACAAUCUGGAAACUAGAAGUACGAUUAUUGUAAAGCUUUUAACUUUAGCCAAAGUCAAACCUCAGGACUUUUAUCUAGAGGACGGUCCGAAAUGCUUCUGUUUGAAUUAUGACAAUUCUCUCAGGAGACUGCUCUCAAUUUCUAAAAUACUUUCUUUGGUCAACACAACACAGUUAAUCUAACUGAUCCUUUCGUAUCUAUUCUCUUUGGUGAUUCAUUUUAUUUGAGGGUAAGUCUAUUUUCCAAACAGUAAACAAAAUUUCAAAUCGUCCUACAGGCUACAAGUAUAAACAUUAUUAUUAUUUGGAUAAAUUUCUUGAAAAAAGCUGGCUGAUCAUAAUUACUAAUAAAAAAAAUGGGGCUAAAGAGCCCUGUUUGGACAUUCAGCUUCAACUUCAAAACAUUAUUUACAAGUGGUUUGAGUAGCUUUUCAAGUGAAAUAAUGGUUUUCAUUCACAAAACUAUUUGAUUUCCUGGGGAAAUUUAUGUCCAUACGUAAAUACUUCUAAAUGCUCCUUUUCAGCUUAAACCAAAUAUUACCUGAAUGCCUACAUAGCUUUUCUAGUUUCUUCUUCAGAAAAUUGUUACCGUGUGUUUAGAGGGAAAGUAUAUUUAUUUAGUUCCUACUUCCUAGGCAGGCAUUUGCUCUUGGGUGACUUCAUUGAGGAACAUUAUUCCUAAGUGCAAGUUCGGUGAUUCAUUCUUCUCGUUCAACUCCUUGAUUGGUUUAAUGGUAGUUGUACAUAUCGAACCCUUUUUAUGUCCUCCAGUAUCAAUGAGCUAUUGAGUACACCGGUUUUCAUUUAGCCAUAAUUAUCAUCUCUUAUCAAGUGAUCUUAAUCAAGAAACCUUGAAAGUGACAGGAGGUAGAAACAAAUAGAAGCCGUGGUAGGUAGAAAUAAAAUCCUUGCUUUAUGCUUUCAUGGAAUAAAUUAGUCCCAAUAUAAUAGGACGUCAACAUUUGCAGAGUAAUAUUAGUAAAUAGGAUAAACUCAUUUCCUAACGAGUCUAGGUUUAGGAAUUGCCAGACACUUCAUUUGAUGAAGAAAAAGGAAGUUCUGAUUACUCUCCGAACCCAUAUCCUAACGAGUCAACUUGAAUUUCCCUCUGAUAUUUCCUUUCGUCAUUUUUACACAGACAAGUAAGAAAGAUCUCGGAUAAAUCUCCCUCCCCCCUCUUUUUUUCUCUCACCAAAGUGUAAGGAAAACUUCAAAAAUAUAUUGUCUAUUUCUUGUUGUUAGAACAUUUAGGAUGACAAGUAUAGAGGUCAUUUUGCACAUGUAUAUUUUUUUUACUUUAAAUGUAAAGAAACUUUAGUACAAGAUUUAAUUUCAAAAAAAAGAAAAAUUAAUAUAAAUGUAGAGUCUAUAGUUAAUCUCAGAGGGUCUCUUCUUAUUGGUACAAGACCAGAUUUUUGGCUUCUAAUUUUUAAGUAUGAAACCCCUUGCCAAGGAAAGCAAGAGAUUUGCCUUCUAGGGCGAGCUCCUCGCAAACCACAUAGGAGAGGUAACCUGCACUAGGCAAGUCUGGUGCGAUGAGCUUGACCUAGAAGGCGAACCCCUUGCUUUCGCUGGCAAAGGGUUUCGAACUUGAAACCUCUAACAUGGAAGUCCCAAGCUCAAACCACUGGGCCACCGUGAAGGGUUUCUUGAGAGUGUUUCUUGUAAUUGGAAUUCCUAUAAUCUCUACAAUCUACAUCAUAGCCGAACCAACAUAUAUGGACUUGUUAUUGUGAGGGAGAUAUGUUUGAGCAAGAACUCCUAACUAGCACCUGCUGAUGAAUGCAAUGUUCAAGCUCUUGUGUUGAUUAUAUAGUGUAUAGCAUGAGGAGGGAGCAUCAGAUUAGAUCAUCUUUUUUAUUAUCACUUAUCAGUAUCAUAACUCUAUCUCCAGGUAUACUGCUGUUUCCUAGGUUGUCCUCCUUUGUGAAAAUAGACAAGACAGAUAUUCAGUAAAAAGAAAUUGGGUGGGGAUGGGAUUGGUUAUGGUGGUUGAUUGGCUCGAUAAUGUAUGGUUACUGCAGUGUGCGCGCGAGAAGGGUAUUGGUUUUACAUGUACUGGGCUUACUCCAACAGUCCAACCCUCUGUUUCCCUCUUGGUUGUAUAAGUAAUGAUUUGUUGAGUAGGGGAGGGAGGUGAAAAUGAUGUUCCUCAAAUGGUGGGUUAGGAGAGAUAAAAUUGUAGUUGUUUUUUACCGCUGGAGACUUUACUGCAGACUAGCAUCGUACACCUUCAGAAGAGUACUUUGGACUUCUUGUUUGUG